rnacentral:misc_RNA from 1 species
AAGUCGUAAUAAGGUUCCUGUAGAUAAACCUACAAAAGGAUUAUUACCUUUCUAGCUAUUUAAUAGCUUGUCUAAGGGCUGCAGUUUCUGCAGUUUCUAACUACAUCUGUGUUUUUUGCGUACUAUAUGUUUCCUCGGCGGGCUUACUUGCUGGUUAGACAAACUAAAACUCUUUGUAAUUGCAAUUAGCGUCUGAAUUAUAUAAUAAUUACAA